AUCGUUUAAUUUUAUAUUAUUACACUCACACGAAAAAAAUGGG
rnacentral:antisense_RNA from 1 species